GGCGUUAUAGUGUAGUGGUUAUCACUCGGGAUUCUGAUCGAAUUAUGUAAGCAUAAUAGUAGUUUCCCGAAACCCAGGUUCGAACCCUGGUAACGCCU